rnacentral:misc_RNA from 1 species
GAAAUGCGAUAAGUAAUGUGAAUUGAAGAAUUCAGUGAAUCAUCGAAUCUUUGAACGCACCUUGCGCUCCUUGGUAUUCCUUGGAGCAUGCCUGUUUGAGUAUCAUGAAAUCUUCAAAGUAAAUCUUUUGUUAACUCAAUUGGUUUCUACUUUGGUAUUGGAGGUCUUUGCAGCUUCACACCUGCUCCUCUUUGUUCAUUAGCUGGAUCUCAGUGUUAUGCUUGGUUCCACUCGGCGUGAUAAGUUAUCUAUCGCUGAGGACACUGUAAAAGGUGGCCAAGGUAAAUGCAGAUGAACCGCUUCUAAUAGUCCAUUGACUUGGACAAUACUUUUAUGAUCUGAUCUCAAAUCAGGUAGGACUACCCGCUGAACUUAAGC